GUGUGUAAAACAUUUGCAGAGUGCAUAUUCUCAUUUGAAAUUGGAUUUGUCGGAUCAUAAUUUUGGCCCCCGGGGGCCUCCGGAAGCUCUGGUCCAGCCACGACAUUGGCAAGAGGAGAAUACACGUCGUCUCUAGAACUGGAUUCGCCAUAAUUCUGCAACCGUAACCAUGGUGAACAUCCACUGAAGAUCACUCGGAUCUAUGGGACAGGCUCUCCAGUCUGUGUCUCAGUUCAGGCAGCAGUCCCGUCCAACUUGAGAGCAGCCAGGGAAUCAGUAGCCGCUUCCUCUUCGCCCUCUUCCUCCUCUUCUUCAUCUUCCUCCUCCUCCUCUUCGUCCUCCUCCUCAUCUUCCUCAUCGUCGUCAUCUUCGUCAUAGUCGUCCUGUCGGUCUCCACCUCCGGACGCUAAGUUCUUCCAGUAGGCGUCGUACCCUGACGCACCAUCGUCAUCGUCGUAGUCAUCGGCUCCAGCCUGGCGGCCAAACUUCAACGUCCGAGCUGCAGAAGAACAGGCAUGGAGUCAUUUACUUACAUCUGCUGAGAGAUAUUCUGUUUCUUUUUGGAAAAUCUGGUUCAUGUAUUUCAGUUAUUUCAGAUCCUUUAUUGGAUUAUAUUUAUUUCAUUGUGCACAAAAGUAGCUUUUAGGAUACUUCCAGCUUGUGUCACCAAAACAAUCGCUAAUUCUGUUUUCCUAAAAAGAAAUAAAACAAAUUAACUGUGAUCUUUGAAACUCCUUAAAUGUUAUUUAACAACAUUAUUGAUUUUAUAUAUAUAUUUUAUAUUAAUUUUUUUAAUUAUUAUUAUUAAGAUGAUUUGAACAGUCUAUAAAUAGCUAAAAAUCCUUUAUUUGUCCAACAAUGGGGAUUUGGGAAUCCUAUGAAGAUUCUGUAAUUACCUUCAGAACAGUGACUAGUGCUGUUAAAUGACCUGUUUUUUGUUUUUAAAGGUAUUUUAUUUGGUAAUUCAAAAGCUUUCCUCAAAGAUUACUGAUAAUUUGUAAUAACGGCUGUUAAUGCUUUCAAACUGGUUAGAGAGCGACUUACACAGAAAAUAAUGAAAUGAACGCUACAACAAAAUGACGGAUGUGGACGAUGUAAUUAUUGGUACUUUCAACAUGUGAAGGUGCUGGGAAGCAUCUCAUCUCUCUUUUAAGAAUUAAUCAAACCAUAAUUUUGACUGUAAUCUUAAAUCAGCCAUUGUAAGUACUUAAUCACAUAAUUAAAAAGUUAAUAUCUCUAAAGCCCUGUGGGAGACUGACUUUAUCUCCUUGUCUCACUCUCACAUGAAGAUAACAUUAGAUAGAAUACCUGUGUUAUGCUGUGGCCAACAGGGUCUGUCGAUUAAUUACUGGCAAACUACUAAUUCCAUGAUCAAGGAUGAACCUUCAAGCUCAAGCGGUUCCAUCACAUUACACUUGGAUUAUACUGCAGUGCUUCAAUGUUGUAACUGAAGUAAUCAUACACGAGUAAAUAAGUAAAAAAAACAAGUGACACUAGGUCAGAUACAUCUCUUUUGGUCAUAAAUAGUGUAGUGUAUUUUUGUCCAUAUAUGGAAUGAGAGGGGAAUAUGUGUUUACAUCUCUUUCUUUGAAAUGCCAAGAUAAGGGUCUCCUGAUGACCCCUCACCUCACCUUUUGACCCCUUUAAGUUCCAUGUCUAACAUAGCAUAACUUGAUUCUAACCAGAGGUUCUUACACAAGUAAACAAUGGACCUAUAAAUAUUACCCCCAAGAAGAGUCGGGAGGGUUGUCAUUUUGGCCGGACACUCUCCAAGCUCUGCAGAGCUUGAAUCGAUGCUGGUCUUUUUGUAAUAAACCUUUAUAUACAAUCAA